CAUUUGAUAUCUCAAGAGGUCAGGUUGGGGCCCAGUUUUGGGACCUUGCCCAGGGGCUUUGCAAUGGCUGGAACACCAACUGUCCCAUUAAUGACAGCGCUGCUGGCAGUUGGGGUGACCCUGUUGUAGAGUCCCAUCGAUUUUCCCAUUACCCUUUAAUGCUGUGUAUUAAAGGCUUUGCAGAUCCACUCUGUUACCUUCUUUCUUUAUUAUCUCCAGGGCCUGCCCAAGUGCUUGGGAGGAUUAAAUUGCCUGGAUGCAGUAAACCUUCCCACAAAGUAGGAAGUUCUCCUCCUAUGCAGAGCUCAGAACCAAGAAGCCUGGAAGUCCCUCUUCUUUCUCUAUGAGCCAACGUUCACCCCACUGCCAGCUGGGAAGGAGGAGAUGAAGAGAUGUGUCCUCACCUCUUUGCAGGGUGCUUCCUGGUUCCAAUCUGUUCCAGAACCAAAGGAGAUGAGGUCCACAGUCCCCCUAGCACAAGAGACCAGAGAAUAAGCAGUGACUUUUGAGGUCUGAGAAAAAGUAGUGAGGUUGAUACUUCAAACUACAAUUCAUCUUUGCAAAUUAUUUUCUUCCAUUCACCUUGAAAAACAAAACAUUGCAAAAUGUGCCUGAAA